rnacentral:rRNA from 1 species
UACGUAGGGCGCAAGCGUUUGUCCGGAAUUAUUGGGGCGUAAAGAGCUCGUAGGCGGCUUGUCACGUCGGGUGUGAAAGCCCGGGGCUUAACCCCGGGUCUGCAUUCGAUACGGGCUGGCUAGAGUGUGGUAGGGGAGAUCGGAAUUCCUGGUGUAGCGGUGAAAUGCGCAGAUAUCAGGAGGAACACCGGUGGCGAAGGCGGAUCUCUGGGCCAUUACUGACGCUGAGGAGCGAAAGCGUGGGGAGCGAACAGG